CAGAGGGUGCAAGCGUUGUUCGGAAUUAUUGGGCGUAAAGCGCGUGUAGGCGGCUUUGCAAGUCGGGUGUGAAAGCCCUCAGCUUAACUGAGGAAGUGCGCCCGAAACUGCAGAGCUUGAGUACCGGAGAGGAUGGCGGAAUUCCCCAAGUAGAGGUGAAAUUCGUAGAUAUGGGGAGGAACACCGGUGGCGAAGGCGGCCAUCUGGACGGAUACUGACGCUGAGACACGAAAGCGUGGGUAGCAAACAGGAUUAGAUACCCUGGUAGUCCACGCCGUAAACGAUGAGAACUAGGUGUCGUGGGUGUUGACCCCCGCGGUGCCGUAGCUAACGCAUUAAGUUCUCCGCCUGGGAAGUACGGCCGCAAGGCUA
rnacentral:rRNA from 1 species